rnacentral:rRNA from 1 species
GCGAGUGAAGCGGCAACAGCUCAAAUUUGAAAUCCGGCGCCCCCGGCGUCCGAGUUGUGAUUUGCAGAGGGUGGCUCGGGCCCGUCCCCCGUCCAAGUCCCCUGGAACGGGGCGUCGCGGAGGGUGAGAACCCCGUAUGCGACGGGGAGACGUGCCCGUACGAGCCCCCUCCGACGAGUCGAGUUGUUUGGGAAUGCAGCUCCAAGUGGGAGGUAAAUUCCUUCUAAAGCUAAAUACCGGCCAGAGACCGAUAGCGCACAAGUAGAGUGAUCGAAAGAUGAAAAGCACUUUGGAAAGAGAGUUAAAAAGCACGUGAAAUUGUUGAAAGGGAAGCGCUCACGACCAGACUCGGGUGCGGGUGCUCAACCUCUCCGGUGCAUCGCCCGCGCCCGGGCCAGCAUCGAUUCGGGCGGUCGGAUAAAGGCCCCGGGAACGUGGCUCCCCUCGGGGAGUGUUAUAGCCCGGGGCGUAAUGCGACCCGCCCCGGAUCGAGGACCGCGUUCGCUAGGAUGCUGGCGUAAUGGUCGUUAGCGGCCCGUCUUGAAACACGGACCAAGGAGUCUACCAUCUGUGCGAGUCUUCGGGUGUCAAACCCUGGGGCGCAAUGAAAGUGAACGGAGGUGGGAACGCUUGUGCACCACCGACCGAUCCAGAAGUCCUCGGACGGAUUCGAGUAAGAGCACCGCUGGUGGGACCCGAAAGAUGGUGAACUAUGCGCGGAUAGGGUGAAGCCAGAGGAAACUCUGGUGGAGGCUCGCAGCGGUUCUGACGUGCAAAUCGAUCGUCAAAUCUACGCAUAGGGGCGAAAGACUAAUCGAACCAUGAACGACCCUACUAGGUGGUUGAGAGCGGGCGCCCCGCCGGGCGCCCGUCUAGUCCCCGAAACGGGGGCGAUAUUGCCAAAUUGCGGGGACUCCUGACAGGCGAUACGGGUGACCGCCCCCCCGCCGAGAGGCGGCGAUCCGGGCACCGGGCCGAAGGGUCCGGGUA